rnacentral:rRNA from 1 species
ACGCGUUGGGGGCUCUCCCAUAUGGUCGACCUGCAGGCGGCCGCGAAUUCACUAGUGAUUCGUAUUACCGCGGCUGCUGGCACAGAGUUAGCCGGUGCUUAUUCUGAGAGUACCGUCAAGAACUACCCUUCUUCAGGUUAACCCCUUCUUCCUCUCCUAAAGUGCUUUACAACCUUGAAGGCCUUCUUCACACACGCGGCAUCGCUGGAUCAGGGUUCCCCCCAUUGUCCAAUAUCCCCCACUGCUGCCUCCCGUAGGAGUCUGGGCCGUGUCUCAGUCCCAGUGUGGCUGAUCAUCCUCUCAGACCAGCUAAGGAUCGUCGCCUUGGUGCGCCUUUACCACACCAACUAGCUAAUCCUACGCGGGCUCAUCCUCAGGCGAUAAAUCUUUGGUCUUAUCGACAUCAUCCGGUAUUAGCAGUCAUUUCUAACUGUUAUUCCGAACCUAAGGGCAGAUUCCCACGCGUUACGCACCCGUGCGCCACUAUGCCCGAAAGCAUCGUUCGACUUGCAUGUGUUAGGCAUGCCGCCAGCGUUCGAUCUGAGCCAUGAUCAAACUCUAAUCGAAUUCCCGCGGCCG